UGCUCUCGAAGAAGUGGAGUUCAAUGGCUUCGAAGGAAAGGAUCAUGAGUUUGAUUUAGUGAAAUUGAUAAUCGGAUGUGCACCGAUGUUAAAAAGAAUGAUUGUGAAGCUGUCACAAGAGACCUCGGCAAGUAAUGAUGGAUGCGCAAAGAUACACAACAUCUUCAAGUAAUGUUGUGUGCCGCGAGCUCAGCUUGACACAGCGUGUCGACAUCGUCGCGCCGGCGCUUAAGCAAUUGACCAUGUCAUUUAGCACGAUGGAGCUGAUCAGCAGCUCUGUCUUGGCACCAUUGGUGGAAAAGGUUUCGUGGCACUGCUACUACUUGGGGCCGUAUGUUGCGUUUGGUCUUUGGGGCAUCAGCAAGCUGCGGCUACAGACGGCAGACAGACAAGAACAGAUGUCCUCGCUGCAAAGUCAUGCCUGGGCGGUGCGCCCCUCUACUGCUCAAUCUGCUGCAAGCUCUUGAGUAAAUUAAUUUUGUGAAUGAUAUAUAUCUUUGCAAAUUGUUUUUUCAGGACACGUCUCUUUUUUACGCCGAUGCGGGCAACUUCGCGCAGGAGAUAAAGAAACAUAUGGUUGCCGCCUUCUCUGUUUUAGAGCUGCAUCUCACAGCAAAGGGCAUGCUUUUGGAGCGUUUGUGUUUCAUCUCCUUGGGAUGGAUCGGAUUCGUACUGCUACGCGGAGGCUUAAGGUCGUCCUAGAGAGAUCAGCGGUAAUUCUUUGCUCUUAUUAUAUACCCUAAUAAUACAUUGUGUGGUUAUUCAACAUUUUUGGGUUUUAGAUGAAAGGAGGAUGCCUGCCACUUUGUCCUUGUGGGUUUCCGAACUGGAAGUCCCAAAUUAUCUGCUUGGCUGCUCUCGAAGAAGUGGAGUUCAAUGGCUUCGAAGGAAAGGAUCAUGAGUUUGAUUUAGUGAAAUUGAUAAUCGGAUGUGCACCGAUGUUAAAAAGAAUGAUUGUGAAGCUGUCACAAGAGACCUCGGCAAGUAAUGAUGGAUGCGCAAAGAUACACAACAUCUUCAAGGCAUGUUCUUCUGUGGAAUGUGAUGUUUAUGACAGCUCUGGUGAGUAUAUGUUUGGCAUGCAUUAUUA
rnacentral:lncRNA from 1 species